AAUGAACGCUGGCGGCGCGCCUAAUACAUGCAAGUCGAGCGAGAAGACGUAGCAAUACGUUUGUAAAGCGGCGAACGGGUGAGGAAUACAUGGGUAACCUACCCUCGAGUGGGGAAUAACUAGCCGAAAGGUUAGCUAAUACCGCGUACGCUUCUUGGACUUCGGUUCAGGGAGGAAAGCGAUGCCGAGGGUAUCGCGCUCUUGGAUGGGCUCAUGUCCUAUCAGCUUGUUGGGAGGUAACGGCUCACCAAGGCUUCGACGGGUAGCUGGUCUGAGAGGACGAUCAGCCACACUGGCACUGCGACACGGGCCAGACUCCUACGGGAGGCAGCAGUAAGGAAUAUUGCGCAAUGGGCGAAAGCCUGACGCAGCGACGCCGCGUGGGGGAUGAAGGUCUUCGGAUUGUAAACCCCUUUUCGGGAGGGAAGAUGGAAUGGGGUAACCCAUUCGGACGGUACCUCCAGAAGCAGCCACGGCUAACUUCGUGCCAGCCGCCGCGGU
rnacentral:rRNA from 1 species